AUUGAACGCUGGCGGAAUGCUUUACACAUGCAAGUCGAACGGCAGCACGGGGGCAACUCUGGUGGCGAGUGGCGAACGGGUGAGUAAUACAUCGGAACGUGCCCAGUCGUGGGGGAUAACGUAGCGAAAGUUACGCUAAUACCGCAUACGAUCUACGGAUGAAAGCGGGGGACCGUAAGGCCUCGCGCGAUUGGAGCGGCCGAUGUCAGAUUAGGUAGUUGGUGAGGUAAAGGCUCACCAAGCCGACGAUCUGUAGCUGGUCUGAGAGGACGACCAGCCACACUGGGACUGUGACACGGCCCAGACUCCUACGGGAGGCAGCAGUGGGGAAUUUUGGACAAUGGGCGCAAGCCUGAUCCAGCCAUUCCGCGUGCAGGACGAAGGCCUUCGGGUUGUAAACUGCUUUUGUACGGAACGAAAAGGCUCUGGUUAAUACCUGGGGCUCAUGACGGUACCGUAAGAAUAAGCACCGGCUAACUACGUGCCAGCCGCCGCGGUAA
rnacentral:rRNA from 1 species